rnacentral:rRNA from 1 species
CCUACGGGACGCAGCAGUGGGGAAUAUUACACAAUGGGCGCAAGCCUGAUGCAGCCAUGCCGCGUGUAUGAAGAAGGCCUUUGGGUUGUAAAGUACUUUCAGUUGGGAGGAAGGCGUUGAUGCUAAUAUCAUCAACGAUUGGCGUUACCAACAGAAGAAGCACCGGCUAACUCCGUGCCAGCAGCCGCGGUAAUACGGAGGGUGCAAGCGUUAAUCGGAAUUACUGGGCGUAAAGCGCACGCAGGCGGUUGAUUAAGUUAGAUGUGAAAUCCCCGGGCUUAACCUGGGAAUGGCAUCUAAGACUGGUCAGCUAGAGUCUUGUAGAGGGGGGGUAGAAUUCCAUGUGUAGCGGUGAAAUGCGUAGAGAUGUGGAGGAAUACCGGUAGCGAAGGCGGCCCCCUGGGCAAAGACUGACGCUCAGGUGCGAAAGCGUGGGGAGCAAACAGGAUUAGAUACCCCGGUAGUC